CAGGAUAGUUUAAAUGGUUAAAACAUUAAUUUCAUGUAUUAAUUUCAUGCAUUAAUAAUGAGAAUUCAACUUUCUCUCC
rnacentral:tRNA from 1 species